GUGUACACAAGACAGAGCUCCCAUCAAGUUUUCUUAAACUUUACAAUUAAAUCCACCUUCAAAAGAUUUUUCAUUCACUUUAUCCGUAUCAUUCUUAAAAUGUAACCCACCUCUAUCUUCUACAUUAGCUGCACCUUUACUUGAAGUCUAUGAUUUUAUCAUGCACGAGAGCUUUCUAAGGAAACUAACUGACAACAGCGGUAUACAAACUGAAUUACUAGUAAAAGUAGGGUCUUCGUGGCUCAUCGUUUAUAGGGCAGGUUCCUCUAAAUGGCUAUCUUGCCGCCAAAUCCGUUAAAUUUCAUUUAGUAAUACUAUUCCAAGGCUCCUUCCUUAUAAGUA
rnacentral:rRNA from 1 species